rnacentral:rRNA from 1 species
GUGAGGAAUAUUGGUCAAUGGGCGAGAGCCUGAACCAGCCAAGUCGCGUAAAGGAAGAAGGAUCUAUGGUUCGUAAACUUCUUUUGCAGGGGAAUAAAGUGCGGGACGUGUCCUGUUUUGUAUGUACCCUGAGAAUAAGGAUCGGCUAACUCCGUGCCAGCAGCCGCGGUAAUACGGAGGAUCCGAGCGUUAUCCGGAUUUAUUGGGUUUAAAGGGUGCGUAGGUGGUUUGAUAAGUCAGCGGUGAAAGUUUGCAGCUUAACUGUAAAAAUGCCGUUGAAACUGUCGGACUUGAGUGUAAAUGAGGUAGGCGGAAUGCGUGGUGUAGCGGUGAAAUGCAUAGAUAUCACGCAGAACUCCGAUUGCGAAGGCAGCUUACUAAGCUACAACUGACACUGAAGCACGAAAGCGUGGGGAUCAAACAGGAUUAGAAACCCGAGUAGUCC